CCAGCCUGACCUUCAGAUUCGCCGUAGUCGCUGUACCAUUUACUAUUAAAAUAAUAAAUGGUACAGCGACUACGGCGAAUCUGAAGGUCAGGCUAGUAC
rnacentral:pre_miRNA from 1 species